CUGCCUUACACUCUUGGACAGCCUUCUGAAAGGGAGAUUAAUACAAGAUGUUAUCAUGAGUAAGCAUUUUCGCAUGAUUAAAGAUUUAUCGGUGUACGAUGGGGAUGCGUUCCAUUAGGUAGUAGGCGGGGUAACGGCCCACCUAGCCAACGAUGGAUAGGGGUUCUGAGAGGAAGGUCCCCCACAUUGGAACUGAGACACGGUCCAAACUCCUACGGGAGGCAGCAGUGAGGAAUAUUGGUCAAUGGACGAGAGUCUGAACCAGCCAAGUAGCGUGAAGGAUGAAGGUCCUACGGAUUGUAAACUUCUUUUAUAAGGGAAUAAACCCUCCCACGUGUGGGAGCUUGUAUGUACCUUAUGAAUAAGCAUCGGCUAACUCCGUGCCAGCAGCCGCGGUAAUACGGAGGAUGCGAGCGUUAUCCGGAUUUAUUGGGUUUAAAGGGAGCGCAGACGGGUCGUUAAGUCAGCUGUGAAAGUUUGGGGCUCAACCUUAAAAUUGCAGUUGAUACUGGCGUCCUUGAGUGCGGUUGAGGUGUGCGGAAUUCGUGGUGUAGCGGUGAAAUGCUUAGAUAUCACGAAGAACUCCGAUUGCGAAGGCAGCACACUAAUCCGUAACUGACGUUC
rnacentral:rRNA from 1 species